GGGAUCAUUACACAAAUAUGAAGGCGGGCUGGAACCUCUCGGGGUUACAGCCUUGCUGAAUUAUUCACCCUUGUCUUUUGCGUACUUCUUGUUUCCUUGGUGGGUUCGCCCACCACUAGGACAAACAUAAACCUUUUGUAAUUGCAAUCAGCGUCAGUAACAAAUUAAUAAUUACAACUUUCAACAACGGAUCUCUUGGUUCUGGCAUCGAUGAAGAACGCAGCGAAAUGCGAUAAGUAGUGUGAAUUGCAGAAUUCAGUGAAUCAUCGAAUCUUUGAACGCACAUUGCGCCCUUUGGUAUUCCAAAGGGCAUGCCUGUUCGAGCGUCAUUUGUACCCUCAAGCUUUGCUUGGUGUUGGGCGUCUUGUCUCUAGCUUUGCUGGAGACUCGCCUUAAAGUAAUUGGCAGCCGGCCUACUGGUUUCGGAGCGCAGCACAAGUCGCACUCUCUAUCAGCAAAGGUCUAGCAUCCAUUAAGCCUUUUUUCAACUUUUGACCUCGGAUCAGGUAGGGAUACCCGCUG
rnacentral:rRNA from 1 species